GCCUCGGCCUCGAGGCUCCGGCCUGUCAUCCGGUCCAGGAAAUCUGAGCCCGCCCCGAGUCUCUGCGGAUCACAGCACUUGGCUCUGGGGUCGGUGAGGGGCACAAGAGGAACUGCCCGAGUCCUUCUAGAGCCUAAAACUCCCCUCGUUGUCAUGCCUGAUGCUGCCAGGUUGACACAAACGCUCUGUAACCACGCAACAAAUCUGUCACCAGACAAAUCUGCACUACUUCGAGGAAAUUCCGAGGAAUAAAGGCGACAUCUUUACUCCUUCAACCAUUUUCCCCCCAUGGAACCGUGACAGUCCCUGCAAGCGGGCACUAAGCACAGCCUCUGGUCCCUAGGAAAAGCUUAGAAAAUAUAUUCAUGAGAGAGAGAAGGCUGGCACCUAAACUAAUGUAAGAUGACUGAGGGGCUGAAGAAAGAAAGGAAGAGCACUCUCCAGGAAGAGGAAGCGUGUACAAACCCCCAGAGACGAGAGGAGGCAAACGGAGGGACAUUUGGAAAACAGCAAGAACCUCAGCCCACGCCCAUUACACCCUUUAAGGUAAGCGUAAAUUGGACACUAAGCUUCCAGUCAAAGUGGAAAAGAGAGCCAAGGUCAUCUGGACAGCUGGUAUUGACAGAGAAGAGGAAGUGUACCAUGCUGUCAAAGAAACUGUUUAAACACACAAUUCAUUGUUGUCAGCUGUGGUCGCCCUACUAUGCAAUAAAAUACUAGAAUCUAUCUUUUCUAUCUAACUGUAACCGUGUGCAAGUUAACAGGCUGCCCUCUCCUCAUCUGCUCCUCUCUCCCCCUCCCCAGUGUAUGUGUGUGUGUUAUACUUUUUUAAAAUUUUAA